UUUUACUUUUCUAAAAGGGGGGAAUCAAUUCACUUUUGUAAGUGAUGAUGGGUGAGGAUUUUUCCACCUUUGGUAGUUGGUGGAUGAACUUUUCCACUCCAACUUUCAGAGGUGAGGAUUUUUCCGCCUUUGGUAGUUGAUAGGUGAAGAAUUUUCCAACUUUAGUAGUUGGAAGAUGAAGACUUUCCUACCCCAAGUUUAAUACAAGACUUUCUACUAUUGUUAGUUGGAAGUUGGGUAUGCAAUGUUCUGUUAAGUUGGUUCUAUAAAUAGGGAUCAAUUGUAAGCAUUCAGGGACAACUUAGAAUUUGAAACAAAGUUUGCUUAUGCAACUCUCUUCUUGUGUUUGAUCAAGAGAUCCCUUGUGUUUGAUCCAAUCGAUCCACCUUGCGGUGUGAAGCCUAGGUGUUACUUUUAUUGGCUAUUAUCUUAUUUUCUUUUUCUAACAACAGAUUUUAGCAAAUACCUACUUCAAAAUUUGGAUUUCUUUAUUCUCUGAGAAAAGAUCCCAUCACGGUACUGUUUUGAGCUUCCCCAAUUACAAUAUUACAUCAAAUAGCCUCAAUAUGACCCACGAAAGCGGACGAAUGGCUGGUUGGCUGUGCUGAAUUCUAUUUUGGUGCUUUUCUUCAUGCUUUGAUCUACAUCAUUGACUUUAAGUAGGAAUUCUGAAAUUGAUUUGAAAACUGGGAGAAAAUAUAAUCUAGAAUUAAUAACUGUUAUGCAAGUUAAUAGCAUGAAAACAGCAUAGAUAAUUAGAUGAUUAACUCCAGAAUCAAGGCUUGAACUAACCUGAAAUUUGGAACUGAAAUUAAAUAACAGAAAUAUAAAUUGCAGGAGAGAAGUUUAGAAGAUUGUGAUCGGAUAUAUACUGGAUAGAUAGAAAGAGAUAGGAGGAGGAUAAAAAUUCAGGAUUUCAGUUACUGAAUCCCACUGAGUCCACAGAAAUAACACACCUGAAUCCCAUGGAUGUAACGUGAAUCCAAAGAUCAGCAAAGCUGAAAGCUUCUCUAUUUAUUGUGGAAGAGGCUAAGGCCUCUUACAAUUAUUUAUAAUGGUGAAGACAGUAAAGAAAAUAAAAUCAAACUAACUCUUAUGUCCUUCCAUUGACUAAGCCUAUUUGGAGGAGUUCAAAUUGACUAGGACACUUAUUAAGAAAAGAAAUAACAACCCAAACUGUAUAGGAAAUCCUUCCCUACAGCAGGCUUUGUUUGGGUGUCCUAUCUUGAACCAAAAACUGAAUAAAACAUCCCAAUAAGGCUUGAGACUUGCAGAGUCUAAUCCAUCCUACGAAUUCCAAUAGAAAUAUAAUAAAAUAAGUUGCUCACAACUGCUUCAUAACCAGAACUGAAAAGGUUCCUGAAGAAAUCAGGAAACUAGGAUCUGAGCUGGCCUGAUUCAUUGAAUCCGAACCCCCUUCAAAUGGCCCACUCGAUUGGACCAGGUUUUGGUCCAACCUUGGUCCAAUCUGACCCUACCGAUAGACUCAGUCUGUGCUAUUCUUCCUCUUCUGUACUUCUGCUGAACUCCUUUAGAUUCACAUCUGUGACAGUUGGAGUUUUACAAAAUCAAAAUUAAAACUUUCUUGAAACCUAUAUUCCCCAAAAUAAUCAGGUUGAAUUGGCUUCGUUAGGUCCAUAUAAUUAUAUGUUAACCACAUUAGGUUUUGUUGGCUCGGGAAAGUGUAUGGAUACUAAUAUUAGUACUUUACUUGAUUUCAAUAUUAUAUUAUGUGCAUAAUAACUUAUAUAUAGGUAAAAGGACGCAAUACCUACACUAUACACUAGCAAAAUAGGGUGCCUUAUUUAUCUAAUCAUCCAUACAUGUGUAUUUCCAUAAUUUCCCCUCUUCUCUCAAUUUUUUGCCAAAUCUCGACCAUUUCAAAGAAACAUUUCUGUUUUGACAAGGGUCAAAAUAACCUCUUUUGUUGACUUCUCAACCCUUAGGGGUAAGGUUCAGUUAGCAUGGUGGAUAUCAGGCCCUUAAUGAUUCUCUUCAUGUAGUAGGAAGGAUCCUAACCUUGUAUGAGAUCUUGCAACUGAUGGUGCAUCUUAUCCAUGCCAGAAACAGGAUAUUGAAUUUUUUAUUUUUGUUUACUUCAAUCCAGCAAUCUCAUUUUGGUUUGGGUAUGCUUGUGGGGCUGAUUAUAGACCUGCAUUUAGUGAGCUAGUUAGAUAAUGUUACUUGUUAAUUUUUUGGCUUCUAUACCUGCAAUCCUUUAUUUGUUCUAUUCAUUUUGAGAAUAUUGUCAUUUACCCUCCCCUCUUUUUGAAUUUCCAGUUGGUGAACCCAAAUAACAAGAACAUUCGGGAUAUUCCUGGGCUUGCCCCACCAGCUCCUGCUCGGAAACUUCUUUGGGAUCUGAAUUAGAGUACAGAAAGUGAACCAUCUCAUGCGGCUGUCGAAAAGAUGUGUGGAAUAUCCAGGAUACCAGUGAGGAGCCAGAUUGUGCAACACAGAGUUGCUGAAGCUGAUGUCUGAUUAGCCAUGGUCCAAGGUGUUGGCCUACAAUGCAGUUCCAACCUCACAAGGCCAAAUAAGUGCAGUUCUUUGUGAUGAUAUACCAUUGCAGAAUUGGUUGUCUCUAGUGAUUGAGACUACGUUGUACGAUACUAGAUGAUUUCUCUACCUAUUUUCCUCCAUUCCUUGUCUUUUACUCUCAUAUUUGAUAAUUUUUUUUGGGUUGAUGUCCAUAUUUUUCCAAAUAUGUUACCUUGUUUCUUUGUCUAUGGUACUUGAAAUUAUAUUUAUUAUUCAAGGAUUAGUUCACUCA